rnacentral:rRNA from 1 species
CCUACGGGCGGUAGCAGUGAGGAAUAUUGGUCAAUGGGCGCGAGCCUGAACCAGCCAAGUCGCGUGAGGGAAGACGGUCCUAUGGAUUGUAAACUUCUUUUAUAUGGGAAUAAAAUGUUCCACGUGUGGGAUUUUGUAUGUACCAUAUGAAUAAGGAUCGGCUAACUCCGUGCCAGCAGCCGCGGUAAUACGGAGGAUCCGAGCGUUAUCCGGAUUUAUUGGGUUUAAAGGGAGCGUAGGUGGAUUGUUAAGUCAGUUGUGAAAGUUUGCGGCUCAACCGUAAAAUUGCAGUUGAAACUGGCAGUCUUGAGUACAGUAGAGGUGGGCGGAAUUCGUGGUGUAGCGGUGAAAUGCUUAGAUAUCACGAAGAACUCCGAUUGCGAAGGCAGCUCACUGGACUGCAACUGACACUGAGGCUCGAAAGUGUGGGUAUCAAACAGGAUUAGAUACCCGAGUAGUC